rnacentral:rRNA from 1 species
AGUGAACGCUGGCGGUGGGCCUAACACAUGCAAGUCGAACGGCAGCACAGUAAGAGCUUGCUCUUACGGGUGGCGAGUGGCGGACGGGUGAGGAAUACAUCGGAAUCUACUUUUUCGUGGGGGAUAACGUAGGGAAACUUACGCUAAUACCGCAUACGACCUACGGGUGAAAGCAGGGGAUCUUCGGACCUUGCGCGAUUGAAUGAGCCGAUGUCGGAUUAGCUAGUUGGCGGGGCAAAGGCCCACCAAGGCGACGAUCCGUAGCUGGUCUGAGAGGAUGAUCAGCCACACUGGAACUGAGACACGGUCCAGACUCCUACGGGAGGCAGCAGUGGGGAAUAUUGGACAAUGGGCGCAAGCCUGAUCCAGCCAUACCGCGUGGGUGAAGAAGGCCUUCGGGUUGUAAAGCCCUUUUGUUGGGAAAGAAAAGCAGCAGGUUAAUACCCCGCUGUUCUGACGGUACCCAAAGAAUAAGCACCGGCUAACUUCGUG